UACGGAGGGUGCAAACGUUGCUCGGAAUCAUUGGGCGUAAAGCGCACGUAGGCGGUCUCUUAAGUCGGGAGUGAAAGCCCUGGGCUCAACCCAGGAAGUGCUUUCGAAACUGGGAGGCUUGAGUAUGGAAGAGGGUCGCGGAAUUCCCGGUGUAGAGGUGAAAUUCGUAGAUAUCGGGAGGAACACCAGUGGCGAAGGCGGCGACCUGGGCCAAUACUGACGCUGAGGUGCGAAAGCGUGGGGAGCAAACAGG
rnacentral:rRNA from 1 species